rnacentral:tRNA from 1 species
GUGGUGGCUCAGAGGUAGAGUGCUUGCCUGGCACAUGUGAGGCCCUAGGUUCAAUUCUCAGCACCACA